ensembl:lncRNA
AGUCAAACUGCCUCGGUCAGAGGUUCCAUCCAUAUUAACCAGUCAAACUGCCUCGGUCAGAGGUUCCAUCCAUAUUAACCAGACAAACUGCCUCGGUCAGAGGUUCCAUCCAUAUUAACCAGUCAAACUGCCUCGGUCAGAGGUUCCAUCCAUGUUGACCAGUCAAACUGCCACGGUCAGAGGUUCCAUGUUAACCAGUCAAACUGCCUCGGUCAGAAGUUCCAUGUUAACUAGUCAAACUGCCUCGGUCAGAGGUUCCAUCCAUGUUAACCAGUCAAACUGCCUCGGUCAGAGGUUCCAUCCAUGUUAACCAGUCAAACUGCCACGGUCAGAGGUUCCAUCCAUGUUAACCAGUCAAACUGCCACGGUCAGAGGUUCCAUGUUAACCAGUCAAACUGCCUCAGUCAGAGGUUCCAUCCAUAUUAACCAGUCAAACUGCCACGGUCAGAAGUUCCAUGUUAACCAGUCAAACUGCCACGGUCAGAGGUUCCAUGUUAACCAGUCAAACUGCCACGGUCAGAAGUUCCAUGUUAACCAGUCAAACUGCCACGGUCAGAGGUUCCAUCCAUGUUAACCAGUCAAACUGCCUCGGUCAGAGGUUCCAUGUUAACCAGUCAAACUGCCUCAGUCAGAGGUUCCAUCCAUGUUAACCAGUCAAACUGCCUCAGUCAGAGGUUCCAUCCAUGUUAACCAGUCAAACUGCCACAGACAGGUGUAACAGACAGACAGAUAUUACAGACAGGCAGGUAUAGCAGGCAGGCAGGCAGGUAUAACAGGCAGGCAGGCAGGCAGGCAGGUAUAACAGGCAG